UGGGCCCUUUCAGUGACUCCUGAUGGCAU
rnacentral:piRNA from 1 species